rnacentral:rRNA from 1 species
UCAAGCGUUUAAGGGCGAUUGGCGGAUGCCUUGGCACUGUAAGACGAUGAAGGACGUGGUAUACUGCGAUAAGUUUCGGGGAGCUGUAUGCAGGCUUUGAUCCGAAAAUUUCCGAAUGGGGAAACCUAACACUUCGUGUGUUACUUUAUACUGAAUUCAUAGGUGUAAAGAGUGAACCUGGAGAACUGAAACAUCUAAGUAACCAGAGGAAAAGAAAUCAAUUGAGAUUCCGUUAGUAGUGGCGAGCGAAAGCGGACUAGGCCAGUAGAUUUGUUAAAAAAAUUUGAAUAGUUUGGAAAAACUAACCACAGAGGGUGAUAGUCCCGUAUAAGUAAUGUUUAACAAAAUUCUUGAGUAAAGCGGGACACGUGAAAUCCUGCUCGAAUAUAGGGGGACCACCCUCUAAGCCUAAAUACUCUUCAGUGACCGAUAGUGAACUAGUACCGUGAGGGAAAGGUGAAAAGAACCCCUAUUAGGGGAGUGAAAUAGAACCUGAAACCGAUUGCCUACAAACAGUCGAAGCUCUUUUUAGAGUGACGGCGUACCUUUUGUAUAAUGGGUCAGUGACUUAAUUUAUUAAGCAAGCUUAAGCCAUCUAGGUGUAGGCGCAGCGAAAGCAAGUCUUAAUAGGGCGAUUAGUUUAAUGAAUUAGACCCGAAAACGAAUGAGCUUACCAUGAGCAGGUUGAAAGCAAGGUAACACUUGCCGGAGGACCGAACCAGUUGACGUUGAAAAGUCUUUGGAUGACUUGUGGUAAGGGGUGAAAGGCCAACCAAAUUCGUAGAUAGCUGGUUUUCCGCGAAAACUAUUUAGGUAGUGCGUUGAAUAAACAUAUGUUUGGAGGUAGAGCACUAAAUGGGCUAGGGGAGAGAAAUCUUUACCAAACCUAAUAAAACUCCGAAUGCCAAAAGUCAUUCCUCAACAGACAGACUGUGGGUGCUAAGGUCCAUGGUCGAGAGGGGAACAGCCCAGAUCACCAGAUAAGGUCCCUAAAUCAUGAUUAAGUGUGAAAGGAUGUGGAGAUUCCAUAACAGCCGGGAGGUUGGCUUAGAAGCAGCCAUCCUUUAAAGAUAGCGUAACAGCUCACCGGUCUAAUAGAGUUUCUGCGCCGAAGAUGUAACGGGGCUAAAAUCAUAUACCGAAUCUGUGGGUUUAUAAAAUUUUCGAAUUUUAUAAGCGGUAGCGGAACGUUCUGUAAGCCUGUGAAGGAAUACCCGUGAGGGAUUCUGGAGGUAUCAGAAGUGCGAAUGCUGACAUAAGUAACGAUAAACGAAGUGAAAAACUUCGUCGCCGAAAAUCCAAGGGUUUCUGCGCAAGGUUAAUCCGCGCAGAGUUAGUCGGCACCUAAGGCGAGGGCGAAAGCCGUAGUCGAUGGAAAUAAGGUUAAUAUUCCUUAACCAGAUGGAAGUGACGGAUCUUGUAAGUUGUGAGUUCUUAAUGGAUUGAGCUUGCCGCGAAGAAGUCCCAGGAAAUAGCUCCAUCAUUAGACCGUACCCGAAACCGACACAGGUAGAUUAAUAGAGUAUAUUUAGGCGCUUGAGAGAAUGAUGUUGAAGGAACUCGGCAAAAUGCCUCUGUAACUUCGGAAGAAAGAGGACCUAUUUUUGGGCAACCAUAAAUAGGUGGCACAAGCCAGGGAGAAGCGACUGUUUAUCAAAAACACAGGACUCUGCUAACACGUAAGUGGAUGUAUAGGGUCUGACGCCUGCCCGGUGCUGGAAGGUUAAUGCGAUGGGUGCAAGCUCAUUUCUGAAGCCCCAGUAAACGGCGGCCGUAACUAUAACGGUCCUAAGGUAGCGAAAUUCCUUGUCGGG